GGGCCCGCACAAGCAGUGGAUUAUGUGGUUUAAUUCGAAGCAACGCGAAGAACCUUACCAGGUCUUGACAUCGUGCGCAUAACCCAGAGAUGGGUGAAGCCCUUCGGGGCGCAUAGACAGGUGGUGCAUGGUUGUCGUCAGCUCGUGUCGUGAGAUGUUGGGUUAAGUCCCGCAACGAGCGCAACCCUUACGAGUAGUUGCUACGCAAGAGCACUCUACUAGGACUGCCGUUGACAAAACGGAGGAAGGUGGGGAUGACGUCAAAUCAUCAUGCCCCUUAUGACCUGGGCUACACACGUAAUACAAUGGCGGUCAACAGAGGGAAGCGACGCCGCGAGGCCGAGCGAAUCCUCAAAAGCCGUCUCAGUUCGGAUUGCAGGCUGCAACUCGCCUGCAUGAAGUCGGAAUUGCUAGUAAUCGCGGAUCAGCACGCCGCGGUGAAUACGUUCCCGGGCCUU
rnacentral:rRNA from 1 species